rnacentral:lncRNA from 1 species
AUGCACAGGCUUUGCUGUGAUUUACGAUCUCAGGUGUGUCUGUGGUGGACAGCGUACAGCAGUGUCUUCCUUUUUCUGGUCAGCUCUGACAGCCUCCAUGUUUUAACUGAUCAGAUAAACACUGCCCAUCACUUCUGUGGCGACAGGAACACCCUGUACCUGUGCCCUUCUGAAGCCUGUGGCGCUGCUAGACUAGAAGUGGGGGACGAAAUCCCUGCCCCCACCCCCACCCCUCACCCCCCAGAAUGUUUAACUUUAAAGUCAACAGCAAAUUUCAGUAUCACGUGUGACUCGUGGCUGCUGUGCACAAUUCAAGUGUCAUGUGUGAGCAGUGUCGUGCGACUCGUGGCUGCUGUGUGUAAUUUGGUGCUUGCUUGCUGUUCAGUCACUAAGUCGUAUCCGACUCUUUGUGACCCCCACGGACUGCAGCACGCCAGGCUCCUGUCUUCCACUAUCUCUUGGGAGUUUGCUCAGAUUCAUGUCCAUUGAGUCGGUGAUGCCAUCCAACCAUCUCAUCCUCUGCUGCCCCCCUUCUCCUCCUGCCUUCAAUCUUUGCCAGCAUCAGAGUCUUUUCCAGUGAGUCAGCUCUUCGUAUCAGGUGGCCAAAGUAUUGGAGCUUCAACUUGAGCAUCAGUGAGUAUUCAGGGUUGAUUUCCUGUAGGAUUGACUGGUUUGAUCUCAUUGCUGUCCAAGGGACUCUCAAGAGUCUUGAUGUAGAAAUUCUGGAUUCUAAUUACCUUUCUCUAAAAAUAAUAAUUUUUAAACAGGCAGUUAACUUAGGUGAACUCAACUGUAAAAUUAUCCUCCCUACAUCAAGAAGUGGCUCAAGUUUUAGUCUCGUUCUUUCAGCCUUAGAGGUGCACGCACGGCUCAGGGCUCAGCCCUAGACCUGAGGAGUUUACAUAGAGAACCUGGGAAUCCCCUCUCCGGCUCUUCCGUCAGUCGGUGCUCUGGAUCUCCAAGCCACAAAGACUGCACAUUUUCCAUGGGAGGUUUACCUGCCUUGUGUGGUGCAGACUACGACCUGACUUCAGGCCAGAAGCGGUGGGAAGAGAGGAAGUUCUCCCUGGAGAGCGCCGUUCUUGCAGCUGCUGACCCCCUUCUUUUAACUGCUGUUGGUCACUUUCAGUCGCUGGAUGGUUUAAGCUUCACACCACAACUUCUAUUUUUACUUCUGAGAGAGUGGGUUCAGUAGGAGCUAUUUCAUCCUACCAGAGACCUGAACUUAUCUGGUCUCCCUUCACAACAUUUGAUAAGGAAACUUCAAACAUGUACCAAGGUUUAAAGAAUUUUAGAGCAGCAAUCUAAACUGGGCACAUUUUCCUAUAUUUUACAUAUCUAUUCAUCCUUUAAUACAUCUUAUUUUAAAGCAUUUCAAAAUAAACUGCGAUCAAUACACUUGCCCUCAAGUACUUUAGAGUUUAUAUAUAGAGUUUAACAACUUUUUUUUUGAUGUAGAAUUUUCACACAGUGUACAUAUCUGAACUUGUGCAUUUGAGUUUUUAAAAAGCAGCUUUACUGGGUUAUAAUUUACGUACAAUAAAAGAACCAACUUGGUGCAUAAUUCAAGGGGUUUCGUAAAGUGUAACCAAAGCCACAGUCAAGAUAGAAACCCUUCCGUCACCGCCCGAGUUUCCCUCGUGCUGCCAACCCCUCCCCACACCUGCACUUAUUCUUAAGGGCACCCAGUGCCAUGUGGGCAGCAGCCAGGGAGCCCCAGGAGGAGCAGGAGCUGGAGAGGCAAGGAGAGGGCGCUCACCGCCAAGCGAGCCCUGAAAUGCCAGGGAGACCGGAAGAGCAGAGUCGGGGCUCAGGCGGGCUCCUCACAGGGCCCAGGCUGUUUCUAGAGGCGGGAAGUGGCUCCCGGGAACACAAAAGUCGUUUCCGGCUCUUUAUGAAAAAUAUGUUCGUUUCAGUCUCUUAAGGAAGAUUCUGCCAAGGGAAGCACAAAGGUGCCCACUUCUUGAAUCUGUUACGGUAUGAGGCGUGCAGGAAACGAGAGGCUCUCCGUCAAGAAGGCAGCUUCAGGCAGUUCACAGAUCUGAGCCUCAGUUUCUUCGUUUGUGAAACGGACUUCCUCCCAGGGCUCAAGCGUCAACUCACCCGUGGGGUCACUUGAACGUGGACUCCCUGACCCCAACCUCAGCCCCAGCGGCCUCCAUGAGGACCCCCUCUUUCCGGAGGCGGCAGGCAACGUGGAUCGUGCUUUCAGGGCAGGAAGUAUGCGAUCUGAAGAGCUGUUAACUCUGUUCAGAGUUGAGAGCCUGGGCUCUGGGACAAAGCGGUCCCGGGACAGUUUCCUCUGUAACAGAGCCUCCUUCACCUGGAAUCCAGAGGCCUCGUGGCCACCUGGCUGCAGCCAGGACUCUUCAAUCUCCCCUAUCUUUCAGAGAAACCCACCUGCGGUAGUGUGGGCGGGAGUGGUAUUCACAGGAAGUAGCUAAUUUCUCAGAAGGCGGGGGUUUUGACCCUCGAGUUUCCAUUCUCUAAAUGCCCCAGGGAGAGACUGCCAGCGUGGUACUCAUCAAGAAUCAUCCCGAUUUAAACUGAUAAAGAGUUACUGCCCGCAUUCCAGAACACUACUUCCUGUGAUUCUUGGAGCAAUCACACCAGGCAGGAAGGAUAGCUAUGAGCCCCACCUAACAGGCGAGAAAGUGAAGACUCAGAGGCAUCAUGUGACUCGCCUAAGGUCUCACAGGGCGGAGGGAGCAGAGAGCUGGGGCUGGGCAAGUCUAAUGAACACGUGACUCAGCCUGGCCAAUCAGAGGCUGCAAGGGGCUUCGGCGGGCACCACUGGGAAAGAGGGGUCUCCUUUGCUCUGGGAUGACUGGCCUGCAGCUGUGAUGCUGUCUGGCUGGGUGGCUUGUCCAGUGCUGCCUGGAGCCCUGCACUGAGCCCACGCCCACCCGGGGUGGACCGUGCUAGUGGGCAUCCCGGGUGGUCAACCACAGUCCUCUGGAUGCCCACUCAGACGGCUGGGUUCCCAUUCUGGGCUGGUCUCAUCGUCGCAUCCGCCUUUACUGUGAGCCCAGGGCUGCUGCUGGGUUCAAAUCUGAUAAGGGUUUCAGUGUUAAAACAGAAGGCAGGUUCCAAGAAGGCUUAAGCCUUACUUUUCUUACCAGUGGAAGGAAUUGGUUAAAUGAAUUCAGUGGCUUUUCAAUUUUAUGUUUUUAAGCAGAAUGCAAAACAAAACAAAAACACCCAGAUGAUACCCUUUACAGAACCCAAAACAUAAGAGAGUGAAGGAGGCCUUCUCUGCCAGGAAGGAGGAGGCAGGAGACCCCAUCCCUGCCCGCCCGGCCGCCUCCUACCUCCCACCCCACUUCUGAUGUGAACAUUGUCGGCCUCUGAGGAACACUCUGAAAAACGAGCAUCUUAAAAAAAAGAUUCAGAAUUAACAAUCAACUGCAUUCUAAGUUACAGGAUGAAGAGGCUGAGGACCACUGGAAAGGAGACCCACACAGAGGAAUCCAGGAGGCUCUGGGUCGUCGGAGGAGAGCGUGGUUCCCACCCCUGAGGGGCGCUUGGACAAGAAGCAUGGCGACACCCACUGUGCUGACCGGGGUGACUGGAGUCCCGCGGGCAUCCUGACCCUUUCUGGGCCUCCGCCCUCCCUGUCAGCUCACCUGCAGGGGCCCCUCGAGUGGAAUACUUGUGUGCUCUGCUAGGCGCCUGUGAGCUGUCUUUUCUGCGAGUUUGUGGGGACGGCUGAGGACAGGGCAGGCGGGGGCUGGUCUGAGUGGGGAGGAUGAAGUGUCAUGGGAAGCUGCCGGAUGACGACUGUCAGUUGGUGCGUGGCGUCUGGGGAGCCUCGUGGGCCUCAGUGACAUACAGCAGGCGCUUCCAGCAACUGCGCCACACACCCAGAAAGCUGAGGGAGGGGUGACGGGUCACACUCCUGCUCUGGAAAGUUUCAGCUGAAUCAGGGGCACCCUUCCCAGUGGAACACAGCUCACAAUGUCAACCUUCCGUUCAGAAGCGCUGAUACCACGAGUGUCCGCAUCACCGGGAAGAUCAUUUUGCAUCUAUCUAUUUAUAUUCUUUUAAUAUGGGGAAGUUUGAUAGCUUUUAUUCCAAGGCAUAGAAAAGGGAGUUAAGAAAAUACACAAUUUUUUUUCAAGUGAGAAUGUCAACAGUGACCACUGAAAGGGUAACCAACGUUCAUGUCUGAAAGACUGACCUUUGCAGAGUUUCGCUGGGGGGCAGAUGAAACAUUAAGGGAAGUGAACACACGUUACAAACAAGGACAUCCAGCGUUCGGGGCUCAGCCUUACAUGUCAACUUCACAGAGCUUUCCUGCUCUCAGGAGGGAACCCACAUGUUCCCGUGUGUAUCAGGUGCUUUGACAUAAGGGAUGUUCCAAAUCCAUGGUCGAUCUGGGGGAAAAAAGAUUCCAUGAGUAUAAUACUUAUCUGAUUACAGAAAAUCCACUCGCCUGAUAGGAUCAAGUCACUCACUGGCUGGAGUCGACAUAUCACGAGAGCCCUUUUCUGAACUGAGCCCUUUUGGGUAGGAGCUUGCAGUAAAGGUUCAUGUUAAGACACGGGAGCAUAAACCCCGGGGUAAAUGCUGGCUUGCCACUAAGGUUCACAAGUCCCUUCGCCUCUGGACCCCAGUUUCCUCAUCUGCACCUAAGACGUGGAGUUGGCAGGAGGUUCAAGGAGAUACUGCUGCUGUUGAGUAGCUCAGUCCUGUCCUGCUCUUUCGCAGCCCCAGGGACUGCAGCCCACCAGGCGCCUCUGUCCAUGGGAUUUCCCAGGCAAGAAUCCUGGAGUGAGUUGCUAUUUCCUUCUCCAGGGGAUCUUCCCAAGAGAGGAAACAACCCAUGUUCCUGGAUUGCAGGCGAUUCUUUACCACUGAGCCACCAGGGAAGCCCAUUAAAUGAGAUAAACGGAUGAGCCGUGCCAUUCUCCGUAACUGAACCUAUGUUGUUGAUGAGUCCUUAUUCCCUCUGAUAGUAGAAAACACUUGUAACGGGAUCUAUAAAUGAAAA